rnacentral:lncRNA from 1 species
GACUUGUUCAGCCACAGACUGACAUCAUGGAGCACUAGAAAUCCGAGGGGCUUCGGUCAAGGAUGAAGUGGUGGAGAUAAAGGCACCACAUGAUUCAUUAAUGUCUUAUGUGGCCUAGACAGGAAGGAGGGACAAAGAUACAGAACUACCAUGUGCUUUCCUAUGCUGCAUCACAACACUGAAACAAGAUAUUCUGGUUUGUCUUUCUGUGCUGAAGGACAUUCAAAAUAAAGACAGCCUUCCCUCAAAAAUAACAGGCUGUAUAAUCCCAGAGGCACACCUUUCAGCUCCAUCUUGUUCUCAUCUUCCGGGCAACCCCCUGCUUUAAGCCCCUCCUCAGGGUUUCACAGAGUUUCUGGAGGAAAGCAGCCCUUUUGUUCUGGUUCCAUGUCCAUUCAUUUAUGCCCAAGCUCAUGUAACAGAGGUGGGGACA